rnacentral:rRNA from 1 species
GGGUUAGUAGGUUGGUCGUGCCACUGGUAUGUACUGGUUCUACUGAUCCCUCCUUCUUGUAGAACCGUAAUGCCAUUAAUUUGGUGUUGCGGGGAAACAGGACUGUUACUUUGAAAAAAUUAGAGUGUUUAAAGCAGGCAAUCGCUUGGAUACAUUAGCAUGGAAUAAUGAAAUAGGACGUUCGAUCCUAUUUUGUUGGUUUCUAGGAUUGACGUA